UAUAUAGGGCUGGGACCCACAAUGUGGGGCUGGGACCCACAAGUGUGGGUCUGAGCCCCCCAAGUGUGGGGCUGAGACCCCUAAGUGUGGGGCUGGGACCCCCAAGUGUGGGGCUGAGACCCUCAUAUGUGGGGCUGAGACCCCCAAGUGUGCGGCUGGGACCCACAAGUGUGGGUCUGAGCCCCCCAAGUAUGAAGCUGAGCCCCCCAAGUGUGGGGCUGAGAUCCCCAAGUGUGGGGCUGAGACCCCUAAGUGUGGGGCUGGGAACCCCAUGUGUGGGGCUGAGACCCCCAAGUGUGGGGUCGGAUCCCUAUAUGUGGCACUGGGACCCACAAGUGUGAGGCUGGGACCCCCAUAUGUGGGGCUGGGACCCACAAGUGUGGGUCUGAGCCCCCAAUGUGGGGCUGGGACCCCCAAGUGUGGGGCUGGGACUUCUAAGUGUGGGUCUGAGCCCCCCAAGUAUAAAGCUGAGCCCCCCAAGUGUGGGGCCAAGACCACCAUAUGUGGGACUGGAAACCCUAUGUGUGGGGCUGGGACCCCCAUAUGUGGGGCUGAGACCCCCAAGUGUGGGGCUGGGACCCCCAAGUGUGGGGCUGACCCCCAACCCCCCCCCCUUUC